rnacentral:lncRNA from 10 species
CCUGAAAAUGAUGAUGUUCUAUUUUCUACUAUUUGUGUCUAAAAAUUUAAACAGGUCCUGAGAAGAGGAUUAGAAAAAGGCAACACAUCAAAAAGUUAAGAGGCAGAAAUAGCUUUUAUGUUGCUGGUAAAUUUAAUGAGAUCUUAAGUUAUUAGACUGGCAAGUCUCAUCUCUUUGAGCAUCUCAGUGAAGACUGUCAGAAAUCAUCAAAAUUCAACACAACAGAGUAAAAGCUAAUAGCCUUUUUGUUAUACCAAAACUGAAAGGAUUGGUAAGACUCAAAAUGAAUGCUAUUACUGAAAAUCUUCUUUUAUCUAAUUCUUUGUGCAGUGAGUGAAAUUGAACAAAUACAUAUCCUUUUUAUGGUGUUAAAAUGAAUUCUGACACUAUUAAACAAAUAUUCUUUGGUCCUAAGACCUCCUCAAUACUUCUUUCACAAAAAGUAUUAUUAGAAUAGCCUAUGUGACUCUAGUUCAUAAUAUUAUGGCUAUCAUUUGAUUAUUUUCUGUGAAAUAAAAAUGAAGCACUCUAUUUUUUAAAAAAUACUGUGUUUUGAUGAAGAAGGAAGUUUUUGAGUGGUUAUCACAUUAGAGAAAUUUUUAUUGUAAUCAACCUUUGAUAAUUUCUGACAUGAUUAAUAUUUAUCUUCUUUUCUAGAUGUUCUUAAGUAACAAAAAGCAAUAAAGAUAAAAUACAGGACAUCAAAGAUAUCACAUACAUUCAUAUAUCUCAAGAAAUGAAAGCAAUGAAAGAGCUGUGGUAUGAUCCAUAUUUUUUGUUUGUUGACAACUAAUGCAAAAUUCCAAACAAUAAUGAAGCAACUACAGAUUUGGGGAAAAUAAUAAAUCAGAAAGAGCAAUUGAGAGAGCCUUUUUAGAAAAAAGUUUUCUCCUUUGGAAUUAUGUUACAUUUUGAGUAAUUAUUAUGAUAGUCAACCAUUAAUUUAUACAUUUGUUUUUAAUUUAACAUAUAUUUUGAGUAUUAAAUAUAUCAGGCACUAUUAUAGGUGCUUGUGCUAAUUAACAACCAGUUUUCUAGAAUGUGUAAAGUGCCAUAGAAAAUACCUCUUGGGUUCUAUGCUCACUACCUGGAUGAUGGGUUCAGUCAUACCCCAAACCUCAGCAUCAUGCAGUAUACUCUGUAACAAACCCUCACAUAUAUCCUCAAAUCUAAAAGUUGAAAUUUAAAAAAAUAAAAAUAAAAAGCAAAUGAUUAUAUUAAGUAUAUUAACUAAAACAAAACUAAGUGAUUCUGUUUUAGAAAAAGAAUUUAGAAAUGAAGGGGAGUGGAGACUAGAAUAACACUUAUGGUGUUCAAUCAGAAUCAAAACUAUCAAUAUAUACUUAAGUUUACUUUUUUUCUACAUUAGAUAGAAAUUGAAAAGAAUGUGUAGAUAUAUAAA